rnacentral:lncRNA from 1 species
AUCACAAAUUUUACUCAAAUAUAUGUCAAUUCAACCUUAAUUUAAUUCUAGUUAAAACCCUAUUGAAUUUCACUCAACUUUAGACCAAACUUAAUUAAAUCUUAAACCCUAAUAAUUCCUAAAUCCUAAGUCAAAUCCUAAAUAAAACUUAAAUUAAACCCUAUUCCAAAUCCUAAACCCUAAACCAAACCCUAAAUCAAACCUUAAAUCAAACCCUAAUCCAACCCUAAAUCCUAAACCAAAUUUUAAAUCAAAUCCUAACCAAACCCUAAUCCAACCCUAAAUCCUAAACCAAAUCCUAAACCCUAAUCCAAACUCUAAUCCAAACCCUAAUCCAAUCCUAAACUCUAAUCCAAAUCCUAAAUCCUGAUCCAAACAUUAAAUCAAACCCUAACCAAAUUCUAAUCCAAAACCUAAAUCAAAUCGUAAAUCCUAAUCCAAACCCUAAUCCAACCCUAAACUCUAAUCUAAAUCCUAAACCCUAAGCCAAACCUUAAAUCAAAUCCUAACCAAACCCUAAUCCAUACCCUAAUCCAAACCCUAAUCCAAAUCNNNNNNNNNNNNNNNNNNNNNNNNNNNNNNNNNNNNNNNNNNNNNNNNNNNNNNNNNNNNNNNNNNNNNNNNNNNNNNNNNNNNNNNNNNNNNNNNNNNNNNNNNNNNNNNNNNNNNNNNNNNNNNNNNNNNNNNNNNNNNNNNNNNNNNNNNNNNNNNNNNNNNNNNNNNNNNNNNNNNNNNNNNNNNNNNNNNNNNNNNNNNNNNNNNNNNNNNNNNNNNNNNNNNNNNNNNNNNNNNNNNNNNNNNNNNNNNNNNNNNNNNNNNNNNNNNNNNNNNNNNNNNNNNNNNNNNNNNNNNCCAUUCGAUUGGUUUCAAUUUCUCAUAGACAUAGGAAAACAAGUCUUAUAUCCUCUCACACAAGUUUUACUCCAAUCGAACUAGUAGAUUGCAUGAAAUCUUAAAAACCCUUACUAGACCUAAAAUUCUACCUUCUGAGACCUUGACUCACUUAAACCUCAAUAUCUCUCAGUUCAACCGUUAGAUCAAGCUCAAAUUCACAACAUGUAUUCAACACAACUAUAAUCAUGAACACAAAAAAAUUCACUUUUAGAUCUGCAACAAACUCUCGAAAUCACUCAAAACAUAAACCCUAUUUUAUUUCAUAAAACCCAAGUCAUCCGAAAAAAACUCAACUUUCAAAGCUCUUAAAAAUUCAUAUCAACUCCAAAUCACCCAAAAUCAACGCCCAUAGAAACCCUAUUCAACCUUCUCUCCAACUCCACUCUCCGAUUUACCAAAGAGUCCCGGAGUCGUAGUCGAGACUCAGUUUUGUGCCUGAGGGUCUGAUUUCGACCCUGGUUCAUAACCGGCCCUCUCCGGAUAUCAAUAUCUAGUUUUUCUAAGUAAUUUUUUUCUAGAAUUUACUCUUAACUUUCUUCUAAAGAUUCCUUUAUCAUUUAUUUUCUCAAUCUACUUUUAUUUGCCUUACUUAUGGUACUACAAAGUAAGUAGAAGUCACCUUUCUAAAAGGCAGCAUUGAUACCUUUUAAUUUUUCUACCCCUUUGGCUAUUAACUAUAUUUCUAAGAUAAUUUGUUCUAAUACUUUGAACUAAGAUCUCUUAAAUUAUAAUAAUCUCCACACUCUUUCACCUAUUAAUCGUGUUACAUCACGACAUCCACCCCUCCUAAAUCUAUGCAUCCUCUAGCAUGCACCAACAAUUCUUCAAUAUGUUAAUGUAGAAUGUUCUUCAUCUUGGUACAAUUCUUGAUCUUCAAUAUGCUCUUCUAUUCCAAUCUCAAUAUCUUAUAUUUGAGUUUGUUCUUCAUCAAAACAAAUGCCUUCAUCUCUUUGUUUAAAUAAUUUGAUUCCUUUGCCUGCUAUGGGUACCUUCAAUUUUGUACCAUCAAGUUCUUGUAAUGAAUAUGUUCCAUUGUUGUGUGCCCUUUUGACAAUAUAAGGUCCAAACCAUCUCUUUGCAAACUUCUUCAUAGUGCUAUGUUGAUUGUCUAAGCUACUAUCAUAAACUAAUACCCAAUCACCAUCUUCAAUAGCCUUAGGUUGUAAUCGAUGUUUUUUUAUCAAAUCUUUCUUUAUUCUUUUCUCUUGCUUCUUUCAAUUUUUUUAUUGCUAUUUCAAUAUCGUUGGAUCUUCUUUCUAAUUCCUGAAUCUGUAAUGCUAAAAGUUCUUCUCUUUUGAGAUCAUUCUUCCAAGGCAAUAAACCCCAUGUAGGUACUACAUCUUCUAUUGGCAUUACUAGUUUUCAACCAUAUACUAAUUCAGAAGGCAUAUAACCUGUUACCGAACUAUGAGUUAUAUGAUCUGCCCAUAGUGCAAAUGGUAGUAGUCUAGGCCAUUCAUGUGCUUUUCUAUUGCAUGCCUUUACUAAUGCCUUAACAAUAAGUGAAUGCCCAUGCUCACUUUUACCAUUACCUUCUGGAUUAUAUGCAGUUGUUAAAGAAAGCUUAAUUCCUAUCUUAUUAAAGAAUUCUCGUGCUUCCUUUGCAUCCAAUUCACCUCUAUCUGCCGUAAUUUUUCCAAUACAACCAUAGCGACAAAUAACUUCUUCUAAUAGAAAUCGACAUACACCUUUAGUAUCCUUUGUUUUUAAUACUCGUCCUUCAACCAUAUUUGAUAAAUCUUCUCGUGCAAGUACCAAAUACUUCAUUUGUCUAAGUCUCAUAGGCAUUGCCACUAAAUCCACCACCCAUUUGUAAUGUAAAGCCAAAGGGUAUGUUGGAUGUAACCCAUCUCGAUGUCGAAUAUUUGAAUAUACUUGUCAAGUCUCACAAGAUUCUACAAAUUUUGCUAUGUCUUUGUACAUUCCCUUCCACUAAUAUUUUUCCUUUAACGUAGUGAAUGUUGCCCAAAUACCUCGAUGCCCUAUCCAUAAAUUUUCAUGAAAUUCUUUAAUAAUCUUUUAUUGAACUUCUAAACCAUAUAUUAUCCUUUGUGGUACUUCUCCUCUCUUUUUUGGAUGCUUCCAUAAAUAUCCAUCAUGUAAAAAAUAUCCAUAGGCUUUUUUAUGAAUUUUCUUAAAUUCUUGAUCUGUCUAAUCUUUUUGUCGUUUUAAUGUGCUCAAAUACUCUCCAACAUCUUUCCAUUCAUUUUCAUAUAAAUCUCUUAAAAAUGCUUCUAAUGGUAUAUUAAAAUAUACACCUUUUUCCUUUGAUAAUGCAUUGGUAUAAAAUUUUGUACCCAUAUCAUCUUCUAAAUCAAUCAACUUUUCUUCAUCAUUAUACCUUGUUCUCGAUAACAUAUCUGCAACUGAAUUUUCUUUCCUUGCAAUAUGUUUAAAUUCAGGAUUCAUAGAUUUGAUAUAUGCUAUCUACCUCAACAUAGCAAUAUCAGGAGUUAAACAACUUGUAAUCAUGCCUAACAAAGGUAGACAAUCUGUUUCUAUACCUACUGAUGCUCCAAUCAAGUACUCUUUUUUAUUUUUUAUAGCUAUUAUUAUAUUCCAUAAUUCUCUUUUGAUUUGUGCAUAUGCCCUUUGCCUAGAAUUCAAUACCUUUGCUCCAAAUCUUACUACAUAUCUAUUUCCUUAUUCAUCAUCUUGCCCAACUGCCCAACCUAUUCCAAUUGGACUUGCAUCAACUAUUAAUACCACUGGCCUUCCACCUUCAUAAUUUACUUUCUUCAAAGUUGGAGAUGAAGAAAGAAGUUCUUUCAAUUUUUCCAUAGCUUUCCGUUGUUCUUCUUUCCAUUGAAAUUUUUGAUUCUUUCUUAACAACUUAUAUAAUGGAUCUGUUAUAUGUGCAAAGUGAGGUAUCCAUAUAUGAUAGAAAAUACAUGCUCCUAAAAAUCUUCUCACUUCCGUUGUAUUUGUACAUUCUUUCAUCUUUUUAAUAAUAUCAAACUUUUCUAUACUUGGCUUACGUCCAUAUGAACCACAUAUGUGUCCUACCACCAAAAUUUCUUUUACUCCAAACAUUGAUUUUGUCACGGAUAAGGUUAAAUGAACUUCUUCCAAUCUUUUCAAAAUCUUCUCACAAUCUUCAAUAUGAUCUGCGACAAACUAUCUACAUCCCUUUGAAUCUAAAGUUUCAUCCUUUCUUUCUUCUUCACAUCCCUUAAUAGGUACAUCAUCUAAGAAAGGCAUUGUUAUUCUUGGAAUAAAAUCUCUUAAUACCUUAUGCAUUCCAUUCAUCAUAUGUGCUACAGAAUUUGUAGCCCCUUGUGGUAAUGUGCACAUUCUAACCAAUCCUAACGGUGUCUUCAUAGUUGUCAAAUCCCUACUUUGUAUUGCCAAUUGGAAUUGAUCAUAACCUAAAUAAAGAUCAUCCAUUGAGUAGAUAGCUCUUCCAGCAAAUGCUUCUGCAAAUUCAUCCACAAUUGGACUUGAAUCCAUAUUUCUAAUAGUCACUUUAUUUACGGGUUGCAUAUCUUGUAUAAAUCUCAUUAUUCCAUUUUUCUUUGGCACUGUAAACCAUCGAUUAGAAUAAGGUGCUAUAGAUGGUUCCAAAAUUUCUAUUUUAAUCUUUUCAUUGAGUAAAUCUACUAACUUAGAUAAAUGUGCUCUUGGUACUAGAAUUGGUCGCAAAUUCCAUGGUUCAUAAGGAGUAGUAAAAAUAACCAUGGGUGCUACAAUAUUUGGAUCAACACACCCAAUUUCAUGUACUUUAAAUGUAAAAGCUUUUCCAUGACGUGAAAGCAUAUCCCUAAAAUAUUUUUCUUCACAUUUUGUCAAAAAUCCAUCACCUCCAACAUUUAACCCAUCUAAUGUAACAUCCGUAAAUUUAUGCCCUAUCUUCCUUGAAUCUCUUAGAUUUGGUUGUGUCGAUGCUCCACUUAUCAUUUCUUCACAAUCAGAUGGUAGAGGCAAAGCCACUCGUUUGACCUUCUUUGCUAUUGAUUUAUACUUAGUUUCAACAUAUACCUCUUGGCGACUUAAAUUUUCUUUAAAUCUUUGAAUUUUAUCAUAAAAUUCUUUAGAACACACAUUAAUAACUCUAUUCUCUACUUGUAACCCACAUUGUAAUAGGUAAUUUAAUUCUCCCAUAGUAUCUGCAAAACCUACUUCUUCAUAUGUUCCUGAAAUAAAUUCAUUUUCAACCAAUUUUCCAUUUUCUUUCAAAUUUUUCUCUAUAUUUUUAAUAUAACAUCUGUCCCUCUUUUUCAUUUUGUCAAUAGUCUUAAAAGUCAAUACACAGUCUUGUGUCAUCCCAAUAAGUCCGAUAGAUAACAAUUCUUUUUUUAAAUUAAGCGGGAGCAUUUCUUUCUCUAAUCCAUUGCAACCCCGCUUUACAAUGGUGUGUGGUAAAAAUCCUCAAGGUCUUCAAAUUUCUCAUUUGAUAUUGAUUUCUCUCUCAACUUAUCAUGAUUUCUCUCAUGAUUAGCACAAACAGUUAAAAAUUGAACUGCUUUCAUUCCAUCUUGGUUUCUUAUUCUUGCAUAAGAUGAACCAUCAUCCAUUACUUUUGUUUCCAUUCAUGUGGAAAUAAUAUAUGGUUGUCCCAAUAUAAUAGGGUAUGUAGACAUGUCUUGCACAAAGAAAUUUUGUUCAUGAAUAACAUCUCCAAUUGUCACUUUGAUAUUUGGACAUGCUCCAUACAAAUCUCCCUUUGAAUUAUUCGCAGUUCUUAUCAUCUACCCAUGUUUAGUAUCAAUAGGCCAUUUUUCCUUGUUAUAUAAUUCCUUUGACAUCAAAUUGAUUUCAGAACCAUGAUCAAUUAAUGCUACAACUGGUUCUUCUAAAUUUUCCAAUUUUAUUAAAGUCUUCAUUGUAGUCCUUGUCCAAUGACUUCUAGAAUAAUGGCUAGAAGCUUGAAUGACAUCUUCUUUUUCUGCAAACCUUACUCGCAAGACAUCUCCAAAAUUUUGUAUUUCAUCUUCUUCAUCUUCAUUUCUUUCCAUUGCUCUUGUUCCUUGUGCAUUUGAUGUCAUAGAGUCUCCUAUAGAUUGUUGUUCUUUCUUUAUUAUAUCAAUAAUAACUUCAUGAAACUCAUGCUUUGCAAUUCCUAGAAUUUCACCAAUUGUGAAUUCAACCUUUCCACUUAAAAUCCGCUCCUCCAAUACCUUCUUCAAAUCUGUAGCUGCUUCAAUAUCUGAUUGAAAUUUAUAAGCAGGAGCCUUUGCUUUUUCUUUUCUAAUUUCCCUCUCUUUUGUAGAAAUGCUCUCCAUUGUCUCUUCAUGUAUAGAAUUCUUUUGUUGUCAUGUUUUUUCUCCCCUUCUAAUUCUUUUUGAGGGCCCUUCAUUAUUUUCAUCUCUCCUUCGUUUUUCUUCUAUUAAUGCUUCAUGUUGAUUCCUUGCAAUAUGAACAUGUACAGAUAGUCUAUCUACUGGAUCAUCCCACCCAGUAAUUUGUCGAAUGUUAUUAUCAAUACGUUUCAAAUCAUCUCUAGUAAAAUUUCUUCUUUCAGCAUACCUCAUUGCACUUGUCCACAAAGAGCUAGAUUCUACUGAAAACUCAAGGUUUAUACUUAAACAUCUACUAGGAUCUGCUUCCACCCAAUAUGUUGAUGCUUCAUUGCUUGAGAUUAUCUGCACUUUAAAAGUAUCUCCAAUAAAUAACUUCAUUCUUCCUUUACCAAAAUUUGUUUCUAAUUUUUCUCCAUUUUCUUUUGAGUGUAUCAUACCAUCUUUAAAAAAAAUAACUCUUUUACGUAAUGCCUCUGUAAAUUCUUCACAUUCCUUCCUCGAGUGAUCUAUGCUGUCACACCAUAUGCAUCUAUGUACUACACCCUCCAUUGGCCUUGGUCUUUGUUUUAUUGAUAUUCUUGAUGAUUGACCUUUCUCUUCAAGUUUUGCAAAUUUUAUUUGCAAAUCUCUCAUCUCACGUAUGAUUUCAUCAAUUCGUGAUUCUUCUUUCUUUGAUGUAGCCAUUGAAGGUUGAAUUAAAGAUGUCGGAUGGAUACUAGACACCUUUAUCUUAGAUGGUUGUAAUGGUCUUUGAUCACCUCUCAUAUCUUUUCUCUUUUCUCUUUUCUCUUUUUGUCAUCAUCUUUACAGCAUCCUCUACCCUUUCCCAAUUUGUUGUCAAUUCUUCAUCUUCUUCUUUAUCUUCAAGCAUGAAUUCCAACUUCUCUUGCAACUUUCCAUCACCUGCUUGAAGAAAGAGCUCCACUUUACUUGGAUCUAAUAAUUAUCUUUCUUUCUUUGAUAAAGAAAAAUAUUACUUUUCAAACUCCCUUAAUAAUUCUAUUACUAGAAGAUCCUUCUCUGGCUUUUCAAUCCAUUCAAAAAAAGAUCUUUUUGUAAUCCUAUCACUAUCUUCUAAGAAAAACUCAUCCUUCGAAGCUUGAGAAAAUUUCUCCCAUGAAUCUCCAAAGUGUUGAAUAAGAAACUUAACUUGAUUUCUUAUCUCUCGUACAGAGGCUAAUUCAAAUAAUUGAACCAUCUCACUUUCUGAAAUACGCUUCAAUUCCAUUUCCUUUACAUAACAUCUUAAAUAUUUUGUAAUAUCCUUUCUUUCAAAUUGAUCGAUCUUGUCCAUGACCGCUUGUAAUGUUUUGUUAGUCAUACUCUCUUUGCGAUCUUUAACCUGUUGCUCUUAUUAUUGCAUGAAUAAGGUCAAAGCUUCAAACAUGCUUGUGGAGUUAGGAUCAAAAUGCAUACCUUGUCCUCCAAAUAAAGCUCUUCUUCCAACUCCACUUGAAGCACUAUCCAAAUUGCCUCUUUCCAUUCUCCUUUAAUUCCUUCUCCAAAAUUCAAAUAAAAAUAAUAAUAAUAAAUUCCUUCUACUUGAAGCGUUUCACGUCGGGUUCACCAAAUAUGUCGUAAUGUGUGAAGUCUUGCUUGAGAAUGCUCCAGGCACUUGGUUGUAGAAGGAAGAAUAGAAAUUGCAAUAACAAAAUCCUAAAUAGAAUACUAACAAUGCUCUAAUUAGACUAUAAUAAUAGUAAACAAACGUAAUCAAAUUCAAAACAACUCAAAGAAAUUUCAAACAAACAAUAAAAUUCUUAAAGAAAUAUUAGAAUGAUCACAAAUUUUACUCAAAUAUAUGUCAAUUCAAUCUUAAUUUAAUUCUAGUUAAAACCCUAUUGAAUUUCACUCAACUUUAGACCAAACUUAAUUAAAUCUUAAACCCUAAUAAUUCCUAAACCCUAAGUCAAAUCCUAAACAAAUCUUAAAUUAAACCCUAAUCCAACCCUAAAUCCUAAACCAAACCUUAAAUCAAAUCCUAACCAAACCCUAAUCCAAACCCUAAAUCAAACCCUAAAUCCUAAUCCAAAUCCUAAUCCAAACCCUAAUCCAAUCCUAAACUUUAAUCCAAAUCCUAAACCCUAAAUCAAACCUUAAAUCAAACCCUAACCAAACUCUAAUCCAAAUUCUAAAUCAAACCCUAACCAAACCCUAAAACCUAAUUCAAAUCCUAAUCCAAACCCUAAUCCAAUCCUAAACUCUAAUCUAAAUCCUAAACCCUAAACCAAACCUUAAAUCAAACCCUAACCAAAGCCUAAUCCAAAUCCUAAAUCAAACCCUAACCAAAUCCUAAAUCAAACCCUAACCAAAUCCUAAAUCCUAAUCCAAACCCUAAUCCAAAGCCUAAUCCAAACCCUAAACCAAAUCCUAAUCAAACCCUAAUCCAAACCCUAAAUCAAAUCCUAACCAAACUCUAAACCCUAAUCCAAAUCCUAAUCCAA